AUUGAACGCUGGCGGCAGGCCUAACACAUGCAAGUCGAACGGUAGCACAGAGAGCUUGCUCUCGGGUGACGAGUGGCGGACGGGUGAGUAAUGUCUGGGAAACUGCCCGAUGGAGGGGGAUAACUACUGGAAACGGUAGCUAAUACCGCAUAAUGUCGCAAGACCAAAGAGGGGGACCUUCGGGCCUCUUGCCAUCGGAUGUGCCCAGAUGGGAUUAGCUAGUUGGUGAGGUAAUGGCUCACCAAGGCGACGAUCCCUAGCUGGUCUGAGAGGAUGACCAGCCACACUGGAACUGAGACACGGUCCAGACUCCUACGGGAGGCAGCAGUGGGGAAUAUUGCACAAUGGGCGCAAGCCUGAUGCAGCCAUGCCGCGUGUAUGAAGAAGGCCUUCGGGUUGUAAAGUACUUUCAGCGGGGAGGAAGGCAAUGCGGUUAAUAACCGUGUUGAUUGACGUUACCCGCAGAAGAAGCACCGGCUAACUCCGCG
rnacentral:rRNA from 1 species